GCCUGGGUGGCUCAGUCAGUUGAGCGUCCAACUUCGGCUCGGGUCAUGACCUUGCAGUUUGUGGGUUCGAGCCCCACGUCAGGCU
rnacentral:tRNA from 1 species